rnacentral:rRNA from 1 species
AGCGAACGCUGGCGUCAGGCCUAACACAUGCAAGUCGAGCGGCAGCGGGAAGUAGCUUGCUACUUUGCCGGCGAGCGGCGGACGGGUGAGUAAUGUCUGGGAAACUGCCUGAUGGAGGGGGAUAACUACUGGAAACGGUAGCUAAUACCGCAUAACGUCGCAAGACCAAAGAGGGGGACCUUCGGGCCUCUUGCCAUCAGAUGUGCCCAGAUGGGAUUAGCUAGCAGGUGGGGUAACGGCUCACCCAGGCGACGAUCCCUAGCUGGUCUGAGAGUAUGACCAGCCACACUGGAACUGAGACACGGUCCAGACUCCUACGGGAGGCAGCGGUGGGGAAUAUUGCACAAUGGGCGCAAGCCUGAUGCAGCCAUGCCGCGUGUAUGAAGAAGGCCUUCGGGUUGUAAAGUACUUUCAGCGGGGAGGAAGGCGUUGUGGUUAAUAACCACAGCGAUUGACGUUACCCGCAGAAGAAGCACCGGCUAACUCCGUGCCAGCAGCCGCGGUAACAC